CCAGACUCCUACGGGAGGCAGCAGUGAGGAAUAUUGGUCAAUGGGCGAGAGCCUGAACCAGCCAAGUCGCGUGAGGGACGACGGCCCUACGGGUUGUAAACCUCUUUUGCCGGGGGACAAACGGCGGCACGCGUGCCGUCCUGAGGGUACCCGGAGAAAAAGCAUCGGCUAACUCCGUGCCAGCAGCCGCGGUAAUACGGGGGGUGCAAGCGUUGUCCGGAAUCAUUGGGCGUAAAGAGUUCGUAGGCGGCACGUAAAGUCUGGUGUUAAAGGCAGAGGCUCAACUUCUGUACGGCACUGGAUACUUGCGAGCUAGAAUGCGGUAGAGGUAAAGGGAAUUCCUGGUGUAGCGGUGAAAUGCUUAGAUAUCAGGAGGAACAUCGGUGGCGUAAGCGCUUUACUGGGCCGUAAUUGACGCUGAGGAACGAAAGCCAGGGUAGCAAAUGGGAUUAGAUACCCCAGUA
rnacentral:rRNA from 1 species